AGCUUUACACAUGCAGUCGAACGGCAGCACGAGAGAGCUUGCUCUCUUGGUGGCGAGUGGCGGACGGGUGAGUAAUAUAUCGGAACGUGCCUAGUAGCGGGGGAUAACUACUCGAAAGAGUGGCUAAUACCGCAUACGCCCUACGGGGGAAAGGGGGGGAUCGCAAGACCUCUCACUAUUAGAGCGGCCGAUAUCGGAUUAGCUAGUUGGUGGGGUAAAGGCUCACCAAGGCAACGAUCCGUAGCUGGUUUGAGAGGACGACCAGCCACACUGGGACUGAGACACGGCCCAGACUCCUACGGGAGGCAGCAGUGGGGAAUUUUGGACAAUGGGGGAAACCCUGAUCCAGCCAUCCCGCGUGUAUGAUGAAGGCCUUCGGGUUGUAAAGUACUUUUGGCAGAGAAGAAAAGGUACCUCCUAAUACGAGGUACUGCUGACGGUAUCUGCAGAAUAAGCACCGGCUAACUACGUGCCAGCAGCCGCGGUAAUACGUAGGGUGCAAGCGUUAAUCGGAAUUACUGGGCGUAAAGCGUGUGUAGGCGGUUCGGAAAGAAAGAUGUGAAAUCCCAGGGCUUAACCUUGGAACUGCAUUUUUAACUGCCGAGCUAGAGUAUGUCAGAGGGGGGUAGAAUUCCACGUGUAGCAGUGAAAUGCGUAGAUAUGUGGAGGAAUACCGAUGGCGAAGGCAGCCCCCUGGGAUAAUACUGACGCUCAGACACGAAAGCGUGGGAGCAAACAGGAUUAGAUACCCUGGUAGUCCACGCCCUAAACGAUGUCAACUAGCUGUUGGGGCCGUUAGGCCUUAGUAGCGUAGCUAACGCGUGAAGUUGACCGCCUGGGGAGUACGGUCGCAAGAUUAAAACUCAAAGGAAUUGACGGGGACCCGCACAAGCGGUGGAUGAUGUGGAUUAAUUCGAUGCAACGCGAAAACCUUACCUAC
rnacentral:rRNA from 1 species